rnacentral:tRNA from 1 species
GCCGGAGUGGCGGAAUAGGAAGACGCGGCGGACUCAAAAUCCGUUCCCCGGAGACGGGGGUGGGGGUUCGAUUCCCUCCUUCGGCACCA